AUUAAAAUAACGAAGGGUGUCAAUAGUCCAACACUUUCACGAGGAAUUGUUAGCAACAGUUGUUGCCCAAUCUCAAAUGGAACCACCGGAUUUAACAAUCCGAGAUACUCGCCCGACCAACAUGCUACUUGGAUCAAACGAGUUCGUGAUCCGAGUGAACUCUUUUAAAUUCUGCAUGUACCCCUAAGCAACGGUUCGGAAAACCAAAAAAAAAACAGAAAAAAAAACAAGAGCAAUGCUUUUCACACACUUUUAAUAUCCUUGUAUCACCUCACUUUUGUACUCAUUGUUGUACUAUUACUGAAAAUUAUGUAAAAGGAUAAAUAUAAAUUUAAUUAAACUAAAAUAUCUUUAAAAAUUAUUGACUUUAACUAUUUUUUAAUGCUAAUAUAUGAUAUAAUUUUUUUUUUGAUAAAAUCAAAAUAAUCUUAAAAUAAAUUAUUUAAUAACAAUAAUUUUAUUAUGAAAAAGUACAUUUAUUCUAAAUGAUGUUGAAGUUAAAUUAAAAUUAUAUUAUAAUUUUAUAUCUUUUUUGUAAUGUUAUAUAAAAAAAAAGAGAUAUAAAAAUAAAACAUGAGGUUUCUUAAGAGUUUGAAAGGGGUGUUAUUCACUUUACUCAAAAAAACAAACAGAUACGAACAAAUGGGUAGAGUUUAAUAAAUAUAAUGGCCACAAAAGACUUGGAUAAAGAAAGCAUAUUUACUGUUGGCCCCCUGUUUUGUGGGUCUUUCACGUCAAAAAAAACAUAUUCAAAGUGGAAGUGUAGUGCUUCUGAUUUGUGAAUGCAAUCUCUUCUACAAAUUGAUGUGGCAUUAAUUUAUUAGUUGAAUAAAAAUAUAAAAUAAUAUAAAUAAAUCAUGUGGUCCAAAAGAUAUUUAAUUCAACCAAUGAAUUAACACUACAUCAGUUUGUACAAAAUAAGUUUGUAACUAUAUCAUUACUCUUCUAAUAAACUAGAUUUAUUUUUACAGUCAUGUUGGAAACAUCGAUACCUGUUAUGCUCCUCACCAAAGUGGUGGCAAUGAGUUUUCUAUCAAAUAGUGGCAAUAAUUUAUAUUGCGUAGGGUUUUGUGUAUAAUAAGUAAAGUGGCGGCAAUUUCUUUAAAAAAAAAAUGAAGUAGUGGCAAUCAACUUUCUAUCAAAUGGCGGCAAUUAAUUUUUAUUGUGUAGGUUAUAUAUAUAUAAAUAG
rnacentral:lncRNA from 1 species